GGCAGUUUCAGUCUUUCUCUAUCUACUUUCCCCAUGCCUUGUAUCAUUUUUAUUUUUUUUUAUAAACGUCUAUCAUGAUACAAGGCAUGGGGAAAGUAGAUAGAGAAAGACUGAAACUGCC
rnacentral:miRNA from 1 species